rnacentral:lncRNA from 1 species
CUGCAGUUGCAAAGUGGGGGGGGGGAAUGACUUGGGUGGGGCAGAGGGAGGGGCAGAGAGUCUGCGCGCCCAGCGUGCGUGUCCGGGACGAGCCAUUUUGGUCCCUGGUUCUGCCCGCCACUCUCGGCUCCAGCCACUGCUGGCUGCCGUGCCUUCUGCCCCGCCACCCAGAAUGGGCACCAGCCCGCACUAUCCCCGGGUAAGUUCCCAUCACCCAUCGUGAACCUGACUGGUGGCCCAGGUGGAUCUUAACUCUCAAGAGUCUUUACUGCUUUGCAUGGAUACAGACGACUGGCAAAAGCAAAGUGCCGCCGAGUGGCUUUACCAGAAAGAGGGCUUUUGGUCCCGAGUACUGUUCUUAAAGCCCAGCGUACAUUGGAUUUCAAAACGGAUUUCAGAAUUUUCCUUGUGAAAUCGGUCCCGGGAUAGACUAUGUCCCCUUGGAUACCUCGGAAAUAGCAUCCAAACCAUUUCGCAUAGAUCCGGUUUAUGGUUUCUAGGUUAGAAAGUGUGAAUUCUUUCCAAACUACUUUUGAGCCGCCCCUCCCCCUCUUUUUUGCUUUGAAGUCACCGGGCUGGAAAAACGCCCAGCGGCCCCGAUAUCUCCGCGCGAGCCCUCCCUCGCCUCCCUCCUAUCUCUUUUGGCCACGAGCUGAGCGUAACUUAUCUUGUUUGUGUGCCUCUUAGUACCUCCAGAUGGCCAAAUAAGACUGGAAGAUAAACAUGCGGGAAGACACUAGCAGGGGUUAAGCCAAAAAGAGGGGAGGGGGGAGCAAAGUGCCGCCGAGUGGGAGGAGCUAACGAGGGCCCGGGGCCCCGCCUCCCCGCUUGGCGCCUGCAUAAAAACCCGCCGCCGCUUCCUCCACGUUGCAUCUCAGGCGCGGCGCUGGAAGGGGGCAGCUCGAGGCGGGCGCUUUGCACCACGACCGGAGCGAUGGGGACCGCCCUGACUACGCGGCUCGGCUUGGGGCUUCUGCUCUUGGCCCUGCUUUUACCCACGCAGACAAGUCAGAAUACAACAACUGCAGCCCCUACGCUGAAAGAUAAUUCAAGUUCGACCUCUUUGCCGCUUACCACAUUGAACAUUACCACCUCCACCAAGGCACAUGGAAACUCCCUUCAGUCAACUGCUGGUCUCUUCAUUUUCUCCAUCUCUCUUCUGUAUAUUUGUUAAGAAACCCUGGCUGGGGAGCUACCACCAUUCCCUGUAUAGUCCCCUGAAUCAUUUCAGAUGCCUGAUUCUCCAAAUCUCAGCACGAGAGAGAACCACUGAAUGCCUGCAUCAUGCCAGCGCAGCUCACGCCACAGUUUUAUGACUGGCAGCAAUCUGGCCAACAAUCUACUUCUGAGAUUUAUCUGAUGAUCCAAAGCCGCCUUCUCUGAAAACCAGUUUGCCCCUCAAGAACCAGAAGGUAGCAAGCUAGCUCUGGUAUUCAAAUGGCUGGAACUGGAAAUACAAGCCAAAAAGUUCAUCUUGACUAGCCUUGGAUAAUGUCUACCAUGAAAAAACAAAGCUAUGCAAAAUGAGGACUUUAAUUGGCAUGAAAAAACGAAGCUUGACCUCUAAAACUAUUAGAAAUUGCAAAUGAGACUGAAAUGAUUUCUGCUCAGUUAUUGAUAGAAGGAUGCAUCCAGUGCAAAUAGUUCUGUCCAAAAUUUUCACUUUGGGAUUUCCAAGAAGCUUAAAUUGAACAGUUUUUUUAAUUAAAAAAUGUGUGGCUGUUCAUGUGUGGCUCUUAAGUAAGCCUGUGCAGUUUAAAAUCUAUUGGGAGUCUUAACUUUUACUGUGGUAUUGCAGAUUUUCCAUUUUAUUUAAGUUUUAUUAAGUGAGCCAUAUGUGCCAGCGAGACAGAGCAUUUGAAAGGCAUUGCAAGAUCGGUUUCAAAUAAUAAGACAGAACCAAGAUGGCAAGCAUUACCAUGAAAGCUUACAAUUUUCCCCCAGUAUCAUAUCCACCUCCCUGAAUAAGUCUCAGGAGUAAUUUUCAAAUGUCAGUCCUUAUUUGGUGCAGUUUGUAAACCAUAUCUCUUACUACAACGGAUCAUAUUUUGACAGACUAACAGCAACAAAAACCUAAGUGGCUCAGUGUUGAUUUGUUCAGAAUCCUGAAUAUUGAUUGAAACUGGUGAAUUUGCUCGCAUAGUCCCAGAACUAAAUGUUUCAUAUUAUUUUGGAAUAAAGCUGGUGCUGUGAUGCA